UUGCUAGCAAGAUUAGCGCGAGUG
rnacentral:misc_RNA from 1 species